GGAGGGUUGAUAAAGAUACUGAAUCUACCAGUUUGACAGGUGGACAAAGUGAGACUCCAAAGAAGGGAUUUUCCUGAGUCAGUGACCAAGCCAGGAGUCUCCUUCCUGAGCCGGAUCCUGAUGGAACAAUCUUUCAUUGGAGGGACUGGGUCAGCCCCACCUGGAGGGCACCUGGCAGAAACGCCAAAACUGCUGCUACUUGAGGAAAGCAGAUUUCAAAACGCGUAAAGAUAAGACAUUCUAUAUCAGCCAGAGAGUCUACAAGUGAAUGUGAUUUAAGAAUAGAUGGGAGAGUCCCCAAGCUGAAAUUCUGUGAGUGCAUGGAGGGUGAACUUCUAAAGGAAGCAACCCCGUACUGAAUAGACUCUCCAGAAGGACUUGCUUAGGAAGGAUUCAGGUCAGCUGAAGACUUCAGGCUUGCAGCCCAGGCCCCCUGGGCAGGCCAUGCUCUCUCUGCAUGGCCAGACUGUGAUUAGGGACCCAGUGGGGCCCACCUGGAUGUUCCUGGAUUGCCUCCUUAAGAGCCAGCUGAUUGGUAACCCUAAUUACAUCUGCAAAGCCCCAUCACAUCACAGAACAGUAUUUGAAUAACCAAGGGACAAGAAUCUUCAGGAGACAUCAUUGGAAUUUUGCCUCCGAUAGGUUUUUUUUAUUGUAAAGCUUCUCACUGUCUUUAAUUUGCUGAUGUGAACUCUGACUCCCCCAGA